rnacentral:rRNA from 1 species
GAUGAUCGCUGGCGGCGUGCUUAUUACAUGCAAGUCGAGCGAACAGAUAAGGAGCUUGCUCCUUUGACGUUAGCGGCGGACGGGUGAGUAACACGUGGAUAACUUACCUAUAAGACUGGGAUAACUUCGGGAAACCGGAGCUAAUACCGGAUAAGAUUUUGAACCGCAUGGUUCAAUAGUGAAAGACGGCCUUGCUGUCACUUAUAGAUGGAUCCGCGCCGUAUUAGCUAGUUGGUAAGGUAACGGCUUACCAAGGCAACGAUACGUAGCCGACCUGAGAGGGUGAUCGGCCACACUGGAACUGAGACACGGUCCAGACUCCUACGGGAGGCAGCAGUAGGGAAUCUUCCGCAAUGGGCGAAAGCCUGACGGAGCAACGCCGCGUGAGUGAUGAAGGUCUUCGGAUCGUAAAACUCUGUUAUCAGGGAAGAACAAACGUGUAAGUAACUGUGCACGUCUUGACGGUACCUGAUCAGAAAGCCACGGCUAACUACGUGCCAGCAGCCGCGGUAAUACGUAGGUGGCAAGCGUUAUCCGGAAUUAUUGGGCGUAAAGCGCGCGUAGGCGGUUUUUUAAGUCUGAUGUGAAAGCCCACGGCUCAACCGUGGAGGGUCAUUGGAAACUGGAAAACUUGAGUGCAGAAGAGGAAAGUGGAAUUCCAUGUGUAGCGGUGAAAUGCGCAGAGAUAUGGAGGAACACCAGUGGCGAAGGCGACUUUCUGGUCUGUAACUGACGCUGAUGUGCGAAAGCGUGGGGAUCAAACA